rnacentral:misc_RNA from 1 species
UGUGGCGCUGUGUGACUGAG